rnacentral:rRNA from 1 species
UUUAUCGGAGAGUUUGAUCCUGGCUCAGGACGAACGCUGGCGGCGUGCCUAAUACAUGCAAGUCGAGCGGACAGAUGGGAGCUUGCUCCCUGAUGUUAGCGGCGGACGGGUGAGUAACACGUGGGUAACCUGCCUGUAAGACUGGGAUAACUCCGGGAAACCGGGGCUAAUACCGGAUGGUUGUCUGAACCGCAUGGUUCAGACAUAAAAGGUGGCUUCGGCUACCACU